rnacentral:rRNA from 1 species
UAGCCCAGGGAAACCUGGAUUAAUACCGGAUGAGACGGGACCCGCGAUGGCGGGAUCCGGGAAAGGCGCUGCGGCGCCGCCGGGGGAUGAGUCUGCGUCCCAUUAGCUAGACGGCGGGGUAACGGCCCACCGUGGCGACGAUGGGUAGCCGGCCUGAGAGGGUGGACGGCCACAUUGGAACUGAGACACGGUCCAGACUCCUACGGGAGGCAGCAGCUAAGAAUCUUCCGCAAGUGGGACGAAAGCCUGACGGAGCGAACCGCCGCGUGAACGAAGAAGGCCGUGAGGUUAGUAAAGUUUCGUUUUCGGGAGGGGGAACAACCGUGGCAGGGAAUGGCCGCGGGAUGACGUGAAUCCCGGAAUAAGCCCCGGCUAACUACGUGCCAGCCGCCGC